CAACCCUCAAGCCUGGCUUGGUGUUGGGGCACCGCCUGUAAAAGGGCGGGCCCUGAAAUCUAGUGGCGAGCUCGCCAGGACCCCGAGCGUAGUAGUUUAUAUCUCGUUCUGGAAGGCCCUGGCGGUGCCCUGCCGUUAAACCCCCAACUUCUGAAA
rnacentral:misc_RNA from 1 species